AGGUACCAGGGAGGGAGCUGUCAGUUACUGGUCCACUAGCAGAACACUGUCCUGUGGGAAUCAAAGAAGUGAACAGAAAUGUCAUCACAGGGGAAUUGCAGGCCCAUAUGUCAACUACAGGAAGAGAAGAAAACUUCUAGGAAGAAGCAACUCUUGAAAAGUCAGGCAGUCCCUCACCAUUUCCCAGAACAGGGAGAACAGGAAGUGCCCGCUGCUCCAGGUGUUUCUGGACUUCAGGAAUGCGGUAUAUUGGAGGCCAAGGAUGUUAAGGGGUGAUAACAUUCUCUAAGUAGCAAAGAGUUUUAAU